rfam:Candidatus Moranbacteria bacterium RIFCSPHIGHO2_01_FTLL_54_31 rifcsphigho2_01_scaffold_21151, whole genome shotgun sequence.
AGAAGCUCCCAAGGGUUUGGCUGUUCGCCAAUUAAAGUGGUACGUGAGCUGGGUUCAAACCGUCAAAAUGGCGGCUCCUUGCGGUGACGCAAGGAUGCACAAAUCGACUCAUAUCGGUGAAGUCCUAACGAAUAUAUUGCGAUACAACCUGUCGUAUGUUAGGAUAAUACCGAGGGAAGUUGUCUAUGUUGAACAAGUCUAUUUCGUCAACGCACAAAGCAUAUCUCGCAGGUUUUCUUGAUGGAGAUGGAAGCAUUUAUGUACGGUUAAAACCCAAUCCGACCUAUCGGUAUGGAUUUCAGGUAGCCCCGUAUAUCGUGCUCUUUCAAUCAUCAAAAAGCCGAGUGCAGUUUGAGAAAAUCUGUACUCUGAUUUCUCUUGGUUCCUUACGGGAACGCAAAGACGGAAUUUUAGAGUAUACGAUUGGCAGAGAAGAAUCACUGAAAUGUUUCCUCAAAUGGGUGAAACCGUAUGUGAUUCUCAAGCGUGCUCAAGUUGAACUUAUGCAGGAAAUUUUUCACGCGAAGUCCAAGGUGAAAGAUAAAAAUGAUUUUGCAGCGUUGAUGAAACUCAUUCAUUCUUUUGAGGAACUCAAUUAUUCCAAAAAAAGAAUACAACGUAGAUUAACCCCGUAGAGACUUGUUCCGAUUACAAGGAACGGAGUCUUCCUCUAAAAUGGGAAGGCUAACACGUCGAUCUUCUUCCUUGACAGAAGAAGGUGGUAUAGUCCAUACACCUGGUAACAGGUGAGAAGAAAAAGUAUUCCUUUAGUGAUAGGGCUAAAGAAAACAGAAUAUGCGUGAGACAGGUUGGUUUCCUAUCUGCUGUAGGCGUGUGUUGCUUGAGAGAACUCUUUCCUAGUAAAAUAUUGCUACUUUACGAAGAGAUUCGUAAUGACAAUGUGGCUAAUAACGGUGGAAUCUUCAUAAAUUUUCUGGCAUAUGGAAAAAUAUAUGGUCUCGGUCGGCCAGAUAUGAUACAAUGAGCUUGAGGACCAGAAGAUUUGUAAGACAAUACCGUGGGAAGUCGAUCGAAAAUUGAUCUGGCGUAUAUUGCGGGAUUUCUUGAUGGAGACGGGAGCUUGAUGCUCCAACUCAAGAAGCGAAAAGAUAGCAAGCGGGGUGUCCGCUUCAUGGCUACGAUAUGCUUCUAUCAAGAUUCUCGGCACGACAAACCGUUGUCGUGGAUUCGAGACGUGUUCGAAGUAGGAUAUCUAUCCGAACGUAAUGAUGGAAUGACCGAACUUCGAAUCAAUGGCUACAAGCAGAUCAGGACUAUCCUGAAAAGCUUGUUACCGCACAUCCGAUUCAAGAAAAUCCAGGCAGAAGCUCUGUGCAUAGCAUGUGAGAUUCUCUGUCGCGGAACAAUAAAAACGCUAGAAAAAAAGGAUUUGAAACAAUUGGUAAAUCUCAUCCUGGUAAUUCAGCAAGAAAACUAUGUUACCAAGAAAAAGAAAACGAAAAUUGAUUUGUGUAAAAUCCUAGAUUUGACCCCGUAACGACUUGUUUCAGUUUCACAGUGAGCUGAACGGACUCCUUUUUUUCCGGAAAGUUUGAUCCCGCCUCGGCGGAAUCGGACAGGAGGGAAGGGGUAAUACGCCAACACCCUCGCUUUGUUUUUUGCAAAGACGGGUGAAGAUAUAGUCUGCGCUCCAAGAAAUUGGGGAAAUAACGUGACGAGAGGACCGGAAAGAACGAACCUCUGGUGUACGAGCUGUUCCGCCAGGAGCAUUGCUCGGUAGCUACGUUCGGGUAGGAUAACCGCUGAAAGCAUCUAAGCGGGAAGCCAAGCUCAAGAUAAGGCAACACCCCGCACCAACUUUGUGCAGCGCGCAAGCGCAAGACAAGCUGGUGCGUAUUACGAAUCAAGGAGUCCGUAGUUCGCUAAAACUUUUUGCAUAACUUCAAGGUUAUGGCGCAAAGUUGGUGCGGGGAGAUUUCCUAGAAGAUGACUAGGUUGAUAGGCUGCAGGUGCAAGUCUCGAGAGGGAUUGAGCCAAGCAGUACUAAUAAAUUUAUUCAACUUUCUUUU